rnacentral:tRNA from 1 species
AAGGGUAUAGCUCAGGGGUAGAGCGCGUGCUUAGUACGCACGAGGUCCUGGGUUCAGUCCCCAGCACCUCCA